UCGGGGAGGCAGCUCCUGCACCCGAGGAGUCUUCCCCUGACAGGACACAUUUGGUCUUUUGUUCACCUAACACCGCAUUUUUACUGAGAGGGGGUCUGAGUCAAAACAACGUUGAAUUCUGCGCCUGAGACUACUCCAGUUGACAAAGCCCGUCCAUCUCCGAAACUCUAAUUUCCAUGCAGUAACGGUUUCGCCCAAGACCCCAGGUACUUGGCACUGGAUCCGUUGCAGGUCAAACCAUGGUGGAAGAGGUCUCAGCAGAGUCUCAACACUCGAACAUCAGCGAGAGACAGUGAACAUAGACCCUCCCCAGAUGGGGUUGUCCAAAGCGAUUUUCAGAUUAAACUUCUUAAACUGCAGUUUUGAAAAUUUGAAUCCACCCAUGACUCGGUGUUACCACGCAAACCCUCUACUGGAGCUGAAGGACAGGUCCUGGGUCAUGGUAAGAGACCCGGAGACCUGGAAAGUGGAGGGCCCCUUCGAUCUUGUCACCUGGGGGAGGGGAUAUGCUUGCGUAUCCACUCCCUCUGGGCCUAAGUGGGUACCCUCCAAAUGGGUCAAGCCAUUUCUACCAAAAAAACGUUUGGCUUGUCAGGUAGUGCAAGUAGAAGAUGUUUGUUGGAGGAGGAAGAAGAGACCUUUUUCAGAUGAUCUCAUCAUCCUGGAGUAGAACCACCCCCCUUUUUUUGCAUUGUACUCACUGAUUCUGCUUAUUUUCCAGUAAACCCAAACCUAAUGGCCCUCAUCUGGCUUUGGAUCACCGUCAUCCUGGUUUUCAUCUGGUCCACCAUACCACCUGUUGAUAUGUGGAUCAUCCCCCAGCCAAAAGUUCACAUCUGGAAAGCGCUCAUCAAGGUCCUUGGCCAGGAUCUUCUUUGUUUGACCACCGUUUCAGCAGCAGACCCCUUGUCGACCUGCCUUGUGGGGAUCCCUUCAAACCUAGAUGAGUUUCUUCCCCCUCUCAACAGUUCCCUGAAACUCCUUGCGCAUUAGAAAGUUACUUCUCCCCUGGAAUUAACCCUAACCUUGUCUGGAGAAAUCUCCUCCCCAAAUUAAAUCAUUCAGAUUCUGAACCCCUUGAGUUUACCUUGCUUGGCUCCAUGCCAGCCUCAGUUUGUGUCCAAUUUCUGUUUUCCCCAGACGCCCUUGAUAAAUCCUACCUCCCAGUCCUUCAACACAAUCAAGAUUACACUGCUGGAAACUGGUGCAACGCCAUUUCCCAAAUUUCCAUGGCUUCGACUUAUGACCACAAAUCCCGAUCCCUUCCCCGGGGAAUUUUCUUAAUUUGUGGAGACCCAGCUUGGGCAGGCAUCCCCUCUCGCCUGAUAGGAGGCCCUUGUUCCUUUGGGAGGCUGACGCUGUUUGCACCCAACAAUACUCAAAUUUCAAAUUGGAAAUCUAGAAACGUCACACACAAUUCAGCCCAUUCCUGGAGAAACCUUCAAGAAUUAGAUUCUAAAUGUGACUUGGAAAUUGUUGAUUGGUCCAAACCUAAAGGUUUUGCAAUCACAGUCCUUUUACCUUGGAUGGCUGCGACAAAAGCUGCAGGUGAAUUAGCUCACCUAGAGUUUUGGGUAGCCAAACAAGCAAACUUAAUCUCAGCAGUCCUGAGCGACCUCCUAUCAGAUGAAGAAAUAACAAGGCAGGCAACCCUUCAGAACAGGGCAGCAACUGAUUUCCUGAUCCUGCUCCAUUACCAUCAAUGUGAAGAGUUUGAGGGGCUCUCCUGUCUGAACUUGACAUCUAAGGCCAAGGAUGUCAGGAAUACAAUUGCACAACUGAAGGACAUGGUGCAUCAGAUUAAGAAAGAGUGCAGACUGGCUGGGGGACAUUUUCUCCAGAUGGGGCCUUUCAGGCUGGGUGGGCUCUGUUUUAAUAACCAUUCUUUUGUUCUGUUUAGUCAUUUUAAUUGUCUGUGUUGCUGCCAGCAUCAUAUGGCAGCUAAUACUAAAAUUUCUUUAAAAUACUAAAAGAUGACAUCUUCCCCAAGCAUUAACUGAGUGCAAAUUCCAACAUCAGACCCGGAGGAAGAAGAUCAAGACUCCACCAAAGACCAUCUGGCUCCUGAGGAGGGCUGGUGGGCUUCUGCCCCACUAAGCUCAACCUUGGUUUGGGGACAUUUACUUAGAAUUUAACAAUCAAACUGAAUUUACUUCAUUUUAAGGACUUGUUUUCUCCCCUUGUGAUUAAUUUUAAACAAAAAAGGGAGAGAUGUUGUGUUGUGGUUUUUUUGGGUUUUUAGUUAUGCUAAGUUGUAUAUUGUAAGUUGGUUUGUUCCACUCACCCCUUUAGUUAUACAAUGGUUCUACCCAGGUUGCCUCCUCCCCCGCAAUCCUUGUCAGUCUCUCUGUCUCCUCCCCUGUUGCCCCAGUUACAAAUGCAUCUUUUGUUUUGACUGAGCCUGGUGCCCUGUCCAUCACUUGGCGACACAUCCUCUCCAUCUAGAAGCUUCUCUUCUGGGCAUCAAGUGAUUGGUUUAGGGGGUGGGGCCACUUCCCUAGUUACUUUCCAUUGGUCCCACAGCAGUGUCCUUCUUUCCUUUUCCACUCCUUCCUGCUCCUCUCUUGGUUGGAGGGCUGACUCCACCCCUGUUGCCACCCCCCUUUAUAAGUUGCUGUAAGCCUUUUCCCACUGUCUUCAGCUUAUAGACCUCCUAGACUUUUCAUCUCCCUGCUCCUCCCAAUAGACCCUGUUUCACCAGAAGUCGAAGCCCGCUUUC